GAUGAACGCUGGCGGCGUGCCUAAUACAUGCAAGUCGAGCGAACAGACGAGGAUCUUGCUCCUCUGACGUUAGCGGCGGACGGGUGAGUAACACGUGGAUAACCUACCUAUAAGACUGGGAUAACUUCGGGAAACCGGAGCUAAUACCGGAUAAUAUAUUGAACCGCAUGGUUCAAUAGUGAAAGACGGUUUUGCUGUCACUUAUAGAUGGAUCCGCGCCGCAUUAGCUAGUUGGUAGGGUAACGGCUUACAAAGGCAACGAUGCGUAGCCGACCUGAGAGGGUGGUCGGCCACACUGGAACUGAGACAAGGCACAGACUACUACGGGAGGCAGCAGUAGGGAAUCGUACGCAAUGGGCGAAAGCAUAACGGAGCAACGCCGCGUGAAUGAUGAAGGUCUUCGGAUCGUAAAACUCUGUUACUAGGGAAGAACAAAUGUGUAAGUAACUAUGCACGUCUUGACGGUACCUAAUCAGAAAGCCACGGCUAACUACGUG
rnacentral:rRNA from 1 species